rnacentral:lncRNA from 1 species
AGGUCUGAGUAUCGGCAGCUCCUGCAAAACCACUUUCAGUAAGGAAAGCAGUUGAAGGAAGAAUCCACCGAAAAACCUUUUAUGUUGCUAAUGAACACAUCCAAACACUAAUAUAAGCAGGAAUAAGAGUUAAUUCAGAUUACUCUUUUUGCACCAGGUAGCAGUUAAAAUACUUUACUGUCACUAUUACUGCCAUUUAUAGCUUGUGACGCCUCUUGUGAAGAUCUUUUGUCGUUAAGCAGCUCAUAAAGAAUAAAGUAAAUAAGGAUCCAAGAGAGUGUUUCCUUGUCCAUAUUCUCGUGCACGUGAAAGGAGGAACAGAAAGUGAUUCCAAUGGACCAUUCACGCCCAUCAAAAGCAAAAUGCCCAGCUCAGCUACUGAAUGCUUUGCUUAGAUAGGUGAUACACUAUCUAAUGUGGAAGACGAUAUAAGACAGGUCUUAUUUCACGCAAAAUGUCUAGAAUCAAAAAAUAAAAAUCCUUAAGAAACAUCUAUGCUUGCAGGAAUGCAUUUUGUAUAAAGAGGCAUUUUAUAGCCAAGCAUAAUGUGAGUCAAAUAUCUCAUGAAUAUUACCAAAAAAGCAAGUGCAUCUAUAUAUCUUCUUUUUUAAUAAUGACAAAAGCAUUUGAAUGUAAUGCACUAGAUAUUGCAAGAGAAACAUGACAAAUGAAGAUUUAGCAUAUAAAAUUGAAAUAGGAUGGCUGAAAUGGAGGAGUACUUACAAUCGUGCUGCACAAUAGGAAGAUGGCCUUCCUCAAAUCAGUUUAUAUCUCCAUAGCGCCACUCUCUACCUAAAGACAUUUUCAAUGUGUCAUAUACUCUUUAUCCACCACCGGAUCCUCAAGGAAAACUUUUGGGCCCAUUAUGACCAUUAGAUUGUAAUUCACCUGCACUUUAUGAACUUAAAAUCAUUUUUCCUGUAAUAAGUAGGAUUUUAAAUUCAUGAAUUUUCAAUUAGUAAGCCAAAAUCUAGAUAUUCCAACCGAACCUUAAAAUACAUGAACUUAAAAGGGCAGAAGAGUGAAUGCUAAUGAGAGUCAAAACCUUCUUAAAGAGAGUCAAAUUCUUCAGAUGGCAAGUACAUGAUCAUUGCCAGGCAAUAUGAAUUCAUAACUAUGCUCCCUCAUGACUAAUAUUUGCCAUCUCCACCUAAUUUAAGAUGUAGGAAUCACCGCUCAACAAAUAUCACUGUAUUUAAUGCGAAGUUCUUUUUGUACUUCCAAUAUUCUACUACCGAGACACCUUCUUCAAUAUUUCCUUUGUUUUAUUUUAUAUGACACUGAUACUAUUUGGGGAUCAAACAGUUCUUCCUUUGACUAUAAAUUUGUUCAUAUUCUUUAAUAGUAUGCUGAAUUACAAAAUAAUUUGUGACUUAUAGUACUAUUAAUGUAGUUUCUAAAUAUGUUUUAAUUCAAUAAAUUAAAGAAUUCAUGUCUAAUUAAACUGGAUACUGUCGCCCUAGCAUUUCAAAAUUCGUCAUUCUUUUUGAAACGGAUUAUUUGGAAAGACUAAAAUACUUUGAAAUGUAACUUCAUUUCAACUUUUAGCAACUCCCUUCAUUCCAAUUUUUAUGAAAGUUUUUCCAUUUCAGGAUGUGCCAAAACGUCUAUAUUAGACUAUUCAUCUUUUCAACUUUGAUCGAUGUUUUCUCCACUAAACUAUCUUUUCAACCAUUACUUCAAUAUUUUUCUUCCACAAUCACUAAUACAAUAUACAAGUUAAGUAGUUUCUUAACUAUGUGGAGCACUAAAAAAAGGCAGCGCGGUGCACUAAGCUCCCGCUAUGCGAACGUCCGGGAGCCGAACCAUAAGGGUCUAUCGUAAACAGCCUUACACUACAUUGGAAAGUAAGGAGUAGGAUUUGUAACAUACUCCAAAUGAUGAAUGCCGCAAAAGGUUUCAGGUAACUAUGCAUCCCUUAAUUACAUACCUCCAUAAUACAAACUGAAAACCAACUCAAAAGUAGAAACAUUACCGUAAGAUUGUCAGCAAGAAGCAAACCGGUGGAGUAACGGAGACUAACAGCGGUGGGUACGAACGACUGAGCGGUAAAGCAAUAACAACACGGCAGCACUUCGACGUCGUUGGUUUCUCCAGAACAUCUCUACUCUCUAGUGAAGUGACGGUUGAAAAUCGCUUGCACUUGUGUACUCAUACUUUUAUAGUGAUUUCACUUUUUUACAGGAGUUUGAUUAAUUUAUUGAAAGGG